rnacentral:misc_RNA from 1 species
AGAUGGAUCAUUCACAAUGAAUGCUUACACAAUCUGGUGCAUGCUUGCAUGCGAUCUUGGGAAAAACAAAUUUAAGGCAAUUGGUUUUUGGCUUGGAACAAACGAACAAAAGUCAAGUGGUUAUUGACUCGGACUAAACGAACUGAAAGCAAGUGGUUAUUGACUCGGACUAAACGAACUGAAAGCAAGUGGUUAUUGGAUUGGACUAAACGAACUGAAAGCAAGUGGUGAUUAUCUCAAAUCAAAGUGUAUGGUUAAUUUCACGACUUUCAGCGAUGGAUGUCUCGGAUCUCGUAACGAUGAAGGACGCAGCUAGCUGCGAUACGCAGUGUGACUUGCAAACUUCUGAGAAUCACUAGAUUUUUGAACGCAAAAGGCACUCUUGGGCUCUGCUCAGGAGUAUGCUCACUUCAGUGCUUUAUAUUUCUGUUGUCUUAAUUGGUAGACAACGUGGCUAGUCGCUGUUCUUACGGCCUCUGAAAUCGAAUGGUCUUCGACUCUUUGGUGAACCCAUAGAGUUAAUGGUCAAGUUGUUAUUCAAACAAGCCUGAAUUUGAGCAAGGCUACCCGCUGAAUUUAAGCAUAUUAUUAAGCGGAGGAAGAGAAACUAACUAGGAUUCCCUUAGUAACGGCGAGUGAACAGGGAAGAGCUCAAACUGAAAAUCGGCAGCUUGCUGUUGAAUUGUAGUCUCGCGAAGUGCAACCUGUGUUUGUUCUGGGCUAAGUCUCUUGGAAAAGAGUACCAAAGAGGGUGAAAGUCCCGUCUUUGCCCAGAAACAUUCACGUUCGGUGCAUUUUCAAAGAGUCGCGUUCCUUGCGAUUGGAGCGCUAAGUGGGUGAUAAAUUUCAUCUAAAGCUAAAUACUAACGAGAUUCCGAUAGCAUACAAGUACCGUGAGGGAAAGAUGAAAAGGACUUUGAAAAGAGAGUUAAAAGGAACUGAAAUCGCUGAAAGGGAAGCAGACAGUCUUGACCGUCCCGCAAAUCUGGGAGUUUGACUUAGUCUAUAUGGCUGGUUUUGAACGCUAGAGUUCUGCGGUGACUCUGGGUGAGGUCGACGAAAUCGAGUGAAGCGAAUGUGUGUACCUCAAUGGGGUCACUUUCUCGCUGUUUCCUAUUUUAUCGAUCUUUGCGCUAUUGCGACACCUUAGCGGUUGCAUUAUAGUAUCCCAGAGAUUUUCAUUUCUGUUUGUCCCGUCUUGAAACACGGACCAAGGAGUCUAACUUAUGUACGAGUACAAGGGUGAAAAACCCACGUGCGAAAUGAAAGUAAUUGUCAGGAAGGGCAACCCGCACUGACGCCCGGCUAUCAAGCUGAGGCUGAGCAUAUAGGUUAGGACCCGAAAGAUGGUGAACUAUGCCUGAGUAGGGUGAAGCCAGAGGAAACUCUGGUGGAAGCUCGUAGCGAUACUGACGUGCAAAUCGUUCGUCAAACUUGGGUAUAGGGGCGAAAGACUAAUCGAACCAUCUAGUAGCUGGUUCCCUC